ensembl:lncRNA
CAGAGCUGGGACCUGGCCCUGGGUCUCCUGAAUCCACGGACUCUGUGAAGUGCAAAGGAACCUGGUGCCAGCCGCAGUCAACCCCGAUGUGAUGAUCUUUCUGCCCACCCUCUUUGAUGUCUUGGAGCUGGCCGCUGUCUUUGGCCAGACCUGCAAGUCCGGUCCUUGGGGGUGUAGGAGGAAAGAAGCCCCUGGCUGUGAGUCCUCGAGAUGGACCCUGGCCCUCUCUGGUUCUGAGUUCCUGGGAAAGUCGGUGGUGUUGGAACUCCGGAUUCAUUCCUCAGCGUUGAGGCACUGUCUGUGGAAGCCGUGGGACAAGGUGAAGGUGGGGAGAGGAGAGGCUUGGAGUUUGGGUUUCAGCAGAGGGAUCAGCAGCGUGAGGGGUCGCCUGUGUGUAGAGGAAAGGGAGUGAAGGCCAGGAGUGAGGAAUGAGUCUGAGUGCACCCAGGAUGGUGCUGCAUCUCCUCCCACAUCCACCUGGCCCCAGGGAAGGGAGAAGAAAGGCCACGAGACAAAGGGGAAACUGAGUUGGGUCCAUACAUGUCCUUCCAGGACCUGGAGGUGCCACUGUCUGGCCCUCAGGCAGUGGGAAGUGGGGGAAGGGAGAUUCCCUCCCCAUACCUCGUGUUCUCUGUCCCAGGUCUCCUGGCCCCCUGUGCACCUAAGUUCAGUCUCUGUCGGCCCCCAGCAUCAUUUCUAGGGUUGGUGGGAGGCAGCUGGGAACAGUUUAGGGGUAGGUGGGGCCUGUUUGGAGGAGUCUGCUUGACUGCUUGGGCCACUGCCCACAGUAGUGGGGAGCUUUUCUGGCACACUGACUGCACCACCCAGGCGCUGCCAGUAACAGCCCCCAGGGAGUGUUUGCAGAAGGCCUUGGUGGGCGGUGGGGGUGGACCCCACCCAGAACAAACACCUGGGCUGGCGUCAGGGAGAACAGCCCUCCACUUACCUGUCUGGAGGGUCCUCUGUACCACACUGUGCGUGUCUAAGCUCCGAGGCUGAACACACUGAGGGAGGCCCUCCACUUUAGCACCUUGACAAGAAGGGCAGGGACACCGGGAUCAGGCCCAGCCCCCUGGCCCCAAACCUGCAACCCCAGCUGGAGGGUGAGGAGGUGCUGGUCUUGGGUUGGGGAAUCAGGGGUGUAAAGGGGCCUGCUCACCCCUCAGCUUGGCUCAAAGUCUCAAGGUGUCAAAGGCUCAGCCUGCCCCUCAGAAAGGAGCCCGGACCCAGCCAGAUACUCACCAGGACAAGGGUGAAUGUGACGAGCAGGAGGCCUAGAAUGAAGAGAGCCAUGGCAUAGCCGGGGAUGGAGGUGUCCAGCGGGCUGGGGGCUUUGGGGCUAGGAGUGCCUAGAGCAGAGCAAGAAGGCUAUGGCCAGGUGGGUCCCUGCCUCCCAGACUUCUGAGAUAGCAUAAUCUGGGCCCAGAAGGUGCUGUGGGACCUGUUAUAUGUCAUGGACCUACCUCAAAAAUACUAGCUAAGUAAAAAAGCCAGACACGAGACCACAUAUUGUAUAAUUCCAUUGAUUUGAAAUGUCCAAAAAAGGCAAACUGAUAGAGACAGAAGUGGGCUGAUUUACCUCAAGAGGCAGCGACUCAAGCUCUCUAGAUGACAGGUGAUACAUCCAUGAGAAAAAA